rnacentral:rRNA from 1 species
UGGGGAAUAUUGCACAAUGGGCGCAAGCCUGAUGCAGCCAUGCCGCGUGUAUGAAGAAGGCCUUCGGGUUGUAAAGUACUUUCAGUCGGGAGGAAGGUGGUAAGGUUAAUAACCUUAUCAAUUGACGUUACCGACAGAAGAAGCACCGGCUAACUCCGUGCCAGCAGCCGCGGUAAUACGGAGGGUGCAAGCGUUAAUCGGAAUUACUGGGCGUAAAGCGCACGCAGGCGGUUGAUUGAGUCAGAUGUGAAAUCCCCGGGCUUAACCCGGGAAUUGCAUCUGAUACUGGUCAGCUAGAGUCUUGUAGAGGGGGGUAGAAUUCCAGGUGUAGCGAUGAAAUGCGUAGAGAUCUGGAGGAAUACCGGUGGCGAAGGCGGCCCCCUGGACGAAGACUGACGCUCAGGUGCGAAAGCGUGGGGAGCAAACAGG